GAGAAGGGCACUGGGCGCCCAGAGUAACCAACACCGAGACGAAUAGCGAGGGCUCGGGGAGAAAAAACGGAGGAUGGCAAACGGCAAAGCCAAGGGCACGAGGUAGCGCAGCGCGCACCCAGAGGCUCCUGGGACGGACACCACCCCACGCUCACGGGUCCUCUGGCGGUGUCCUUUGAGCUGCCGGGACGGCGCAAGGUGGCUGAGCGAAGCUUUUUGCUCGCUGCCAUGUUAUGAGGACACUUGGAGAAAGCUACAGGAGAGGAACUGAGGUCUCCUGCCAUCAGCCACUUGAGUGAGCAUGGGAGUGGAUUCUCCAAACUCCAGUUAAGACUUGAGAUGUCCACAGUGGCAGCCACUAGCUUGACUGCAACUUACGAGAGACCCUGAGCCAGAGGCACUCAGUUAAGUCAUACACAGUUUCCUGACCCGUAAAACCUGUGACACAAUGAAGGUUUGUUGUUUUGGGGGUAAUCCGUUAUUCAGCAAUAGAUAACGAAUACAGAAGGCUUGUAAUUGUAUAACCAACGUGAGUUUAUAAGCGGAUAUCUGACCUCAUUUGUUUUCUCCUGAAAAAGUUAUAGAAAAAUCACAAGACUGCAAGUCACUCUCUCUCUUUCUUUUGUGGGGAAUAAACAAGUAUAAUUACAA
rnacentral:lncRNA from 1 species